rnacentral:rRNA from 1 species
AUUGAACGCUGGCGGCAGGCCUAACACAUGCACGUCGAACGAGUGGCGGACGGGUGAGUAAUGUCUGGGAAACUGCCCGAUGGAGGGGGAUAACUACGGGAAACGGUAGCUAAUACCGCAUACCAUCGGAUGUGCCCAGUGGGGAUUAUCCAGUAGGUGUGGUAACGGCUAACCUAGGCGACGAUCCCUAGCUGGUCUGAGAGGAUGACCAGCAACACUGGAACUGAGACACGGUCCAGACGCCUACGGGAGGCAGCAGUGGGGAAUAUUGCACAAUGGACACAAGCCUGAUGGAGCCAUGCCGCGUGUAUGAAGAAGGCAAUCGGGUUGUAAAGUACUUUGAGCGAGGAGGCGUUACUCGCAGAAGAAACACCGGCUAACUCCGUGCCAGCAGCCGCGGUAAUAC